AUUGAACGCUGGCGGCGUGCCUAAUACAUGCAAGUCGAACGGAGUGGCGCACGGGUGAGUAAUUUAUAGCUAAUCUGCCCUACACUAGAGGACAACAGUUGGAAACGGCUGCUAAUACUCUAUAGUGUAGGAUGCGUCUAUAUUGUAUCAGCUAGUUGGUGAGGUAAUGGCUAACCAAGGCUAUGACGCAUAACUGGUCUGAGAGGAUGAUGAGUCACACUGGAACUGAGACACGGUCCAGACUCCUACGGGAGGGAGCAGUAGGGUAUAUUGCUCAAUGGGUGAAACCCUGAAACAGCAUCGCCGCGUGGAGGAUGACACUUUUCGGAGCGGAAACUCAUUUUGAUAGGGAAGCGGUACCUAACGAAUAAGCACCGGCUAACUCCGUGCCAGCCGCCGCGGUAAUUC
rnacentral:rRNA from 1 species